UACAAUUUCAAUAAUGCCUA
rnacentral:siRNA from 1 species